AUUGAACGCUGGCGGCAGGCUUAACACAUGCAAGUCGAGCGAGCGGCGGACGGGUGGGUUAUGUCUGGGAAUCUGCCUGAUGGAGGGGGAUCACUACUGGAAACGGUAGCUAAUACCGUCUUCCAUCAGCUGUGUCCAGAUGGGAUUAGCUAGUCGGCGGGGUAAUGGCUCACCUAGGCGACUAUCCCUAGCUGGUCUGAGAGGAUGACCAGCCACACUGGAACUGAGACACGGUCCAGACUCCUACGGGAGGCAGCAGUGGGGAAUAUUGCACAAUGGGCGAAAGCCUGAUGCAGCCAUGCCGCGUGUGUGAAGAAGGCCUUCGGGUUGUAAAGCACUUUCAGCGAGGAGGCGUUACUCGCAGAAGAAGCACCGGCUAACUCCGUGCCAGCAGCCGCGGUAAUAC
rnacentral:rRNA from 1 species